rnacentral:hammerhead_ribozyme from 1 species
AUCCAGCUGACGACUCCCAAAAAGGAUGAAACGCGCGUCCUGGAU